GGUAAUUACUUCUUCCGCUCCCGGGAUUAAGCUCCAAGGGAAUAUCGGCAAGAUCACAUCCACAGCCUUCGCAAGGCAACAAAAUUGCAAGCGAUUGCUGCCAAACAGGUCGAUUUCGACCGAUCUCCUCCGCGUAUGUGGUUCUCUGCUGCCCUUGCCGCUUCUCCUCCCAUCCUCCUUGUCCUCGCGCGCACGGGGAAACGACGCCGGCGAGAUGGCUCCUCCCCGCACGGUGAUCUGCGUGGGUGACGUCCACGGCUACAUCUCCAAGCUGGAGAGCCUGUGGGCGAACCUCCAGUCCGCGCUCCCCGCCGACGCCUUCGCCGCCGCGCUCGUCAUCUUCCUCGGGGACUACAACGCGACCGCGGCCCGCACACCCGCCGCGUCCUCGACUUCCUCCUCGCGCUCCCGGCCCGCCACCCGGCUCAGCGCCACGUCUUCCUCUGCGGCAACCACGACCUCGCCUUCGCCGCCUUCGUCGGAGCGCUGCCGCCGCCCCCCGACGGCUCCCCUUUCGCCGCCACCUGGGCCCAAUACAUCGAUAACGAGGCCCACGAGGGCUGGUUCCGCGGGCCGGGGCACGAGGAUAUGCACGUGCAGGGGAGGAGAUGGGGCGGCGUCAUCAAGGAGAGGUGGAACCCCAAGAAGGGCCUCCCGUACAAGGGUUCUAUCUACGAUGCGCAGCCCACCUUCGAGUCCUACGGCGUCGCCCAUGGAUCACCAGAUCUCAUGAAAGCUGUGCCUGAGGAGCACAAGAAGUUUCUGCAUGACUUGGUUUGGGUCCAUGAAGAGGAAGACGUUCGUAUUGAUACAGAUGGAGGCCAGAUUCUAUGCAAACUGAUCGCGGUUCAUGCCGGCCUGGAAAAGUCCUUGGAUUUGAAUGAGCAGCUUAGAGUUUUGAGAACUAGAGACACAAGGGUGCCAAAAGUUCAAAUGCUUAGCGGGAGGCAGGAUGUUUGGAGCAUACCACAGGAUCUGGCCGGCAAGCAGACCAUCGUUGUAAGUGGGCAUCACGGGAAGCUCCACGUGGACGGUCUCAGGUUCAUCAUCGACGAAGGUGGCGGGUACUCAGAUAAACCUAUAGCUGCCGUUGUUUUCCCUUCGAAGGAAGUCAUCCGGAGCACAGAGGGAACGGCCUCCCAGAAUUAAUCUAGACACCAUCGGAAAUGCAAGCUAAUGUCGUAACGGAGUAUCAUAUUUCCAAAAACACAGAACUGAGGUUUUAAUGUAUAACGUCGAGUAAAUAAAUCAAUAAUGUGUGAUCUUCUCCUAAGCAUGCAAUGUGACAACUAGGACAAGUAAGCUCCUGUGUGCCAGUUGACAGCAUCAUUAUACUUCUUGCUACUUGGCUGUCGAUAUGAAUCAUGAACGGCAAUGGCCCUGUUUUUAAA